rnacentral:rRNA from 1 species
CGGACGGGUGAGUAACGCGUGAGAACAUGCCUUUAGAUUGGGGACAACAGUUGGAAACGACUGCUAAUACCGAAUGUGCCGAAAGGUGAAAGAUUUAUUGUCUAAAGAUUGGCUCGCGUCAGAUUAGGUAGUUGGAGUGGUAACGGCACACCAAGCCUACGAUCUGUACUUGGUCUGAGAGGAUGACCAGGCACACUGGAACUGAGACACGGUCCAGACUCCUACGGGAGGCAGCAGUGGGGAAUUUUCCGCAAUGGGCGCAAGCCUGACGGAGCAAUACCGCGUGAGGGAGGAAGCCUUUUGGGGUGUAAACCUCUUUUAUUAGGGAAGAAUUGAUGACGGUACCUAAUGAAUCAGCAUCGGCUAACUCCGUGCCAGCAGCCGCGGUAAUACGGAGGAUGCAAGCGUUAUCCGGAAUCAUUGGGCGUAAAGCGUCCGUAGGUGGCUUUAUAAGUCUUUUGUCAAAUCGUGCAGCUUAACUGCAUACGGGCGGAGGAAACUAUAGAGCUAGAGUGCGAUAGGGGUUACAGGAAUUCCCAGUGUAGCGGUGAAAUGCGUAGAUAUUGGGAAGAACACCAGCGGCGAAAGCGUGUGACUGGGUCUGCACUGACACUGAGGGACGAAAGCUAGGGGAGCGAAAGGGAUUAGAUACCCCUGUAGUC